rnacentral:rRNA from 1 species
AUUGAACGCUGGCGGCAGGCCUAACACAUGCAAGUCGAGCGAGCGGCGGACGGGUGAGUAAUGUAUGGGGACUGCCCGAUAGAGGGGGAUAACUACUGGAAACGGUGGCUAAUACCGCAUACUAUCGGAUAACCCAUAUGGGAUUAGCUAGUAGGUGGGGUAAAGGCUCACCUAGGCGACGAUCGCUAGCUGGUCUGAGAGGAUGAUCAGGGACACUGGGACUGAGACACGGCCCAGACUGGUACGGAGGCAACAGUGGGGAGUAUUGCGCAACGGGCGCGAGCCUGAUGCAGACAUGUCGGGUGUGUGAAGAAGGCCUUGGGGUUGUGAAGUACUUUCGCCAUCGACGCGGUAGCUGGAGAAGAAGCACCGGCUAACUACGUGCCAGCAGCCGCGGUAAUAC